rnacentral:tRNA from 1 species
GGUCUGUUAGCUUAGCUGGUAGAGUAUCGACAGUGCUAACGUCGAGAGCAUCGGUUCGAAUCCGGUACAGAUCGCCA